CCCUUAGAUGUCCUGGGCCGCACGCGCGCUACACUGAUGCAUGCAACGAGUUUAUAACCUUGGCCUGAAAGGUCUGGGUAAUCUUUUGAACGUGCAUCGUGAUAGGGAUAGAUUAUUGCAAUUAUUAAUCUUGAACGAGGAAUUCCUAGUAAACGCUGGUCAUCAACCAGCAUUGAUUACGUCCCUGCCCUUUGUACACACCGCCCGUCGCACCUACCGAUUGAAUGGUCCGGUGAAGCCUCGGGAUUGUGUUUGGUGCCUUUACUGGUGCCGAGCGCGAGAACUUGUCUAAACCUUAUCAUUUAGAGGAAGGUGAAGUCGUAACA
rnacentral:rRNA from 1 species